CUCACAGCAUGACGCCAAAAAGAGCAGCGCCUGUGGUAUCAAUUUCAUUUCUACUUUCACUUCACCUUUUAUUUCUUCUUUCUGUCUCACUCUGCUUUGUGCAACUUUUAUUUGGAGAUCAGCUUUUAUCCAUUCUCACCCUGUAUCCUUGUUCCCCAUGCACAUCACACUUCCCACUCAUCUUUCCUGUAUUUUAAUCUUCUGUGACAUACCCUCACACUGUGAGUCACAGGGGACCCCCGACUCACAUGUGGCAUAAUGAAGAUAUGAGAUGUGUGUCAGCGGGUUUUCUUACGCUUCUAUCCUUAUGAGGACCAAAAGGCAGCAAGAAAAAAGGAAAUCAUUCAGGAACAGCAUGUACCUGUGGGGCUAAUGUCUCCUAUGGGGUUCUGGCUAGACAACGUAACUCUGCUUCUGUCCCUGUGGUGAAAGACUGGCUUGCCACUCCCCUCCUGCACCGCCUGACACUUUGGACUGAGAGGGAGACCAAAAUAGAAGCAGGAAAAGACAGAACCACAGACCAAAGAGGAACACAGCUCUGGCAUCUAUGGCAACCAUGCUGAGGAGGAUAUAAAGCCGAACCUAAAAUGUCUGUAGCUGUUCACACUUUUUCAUUGCUCCAUAAUUCAUUACUCUCCCAAUUACUCAUGAUAUUAACAUCAAUUUUUUUCUCUCCUAGUUUGAUGCAUGUCCUCGCCUUAGCUUUUACGUUGUGAAGCAAUUUUAAUUAUAUUAACUUUAACUCAUUCAAAAAAAGAAAAGGAAAAAAAAACUAUCACUUUAAAUGAGAGGAAUUUAUUCCUCCAUUGAUUAUGUAUUAACUGUCAAAUAAAUUGUGCAAAGAUAAAUAGCAGAAUAAAGAAAAGAAAUGUAACAAACCUAAACUUUAUCAUGAUAAGUUUUUUCAUGUAAAGAAAUUUAGCCUAUAUCUUAAUUCUUCUUAACAAAAUAUUAAGACGUUUCCAUUUAAAAACAGAAAGACAACUAAAUAUGAUAGCUUACUGUCUAUUGUCUUACUCUGUAUUCUCUGUUGUACCUGGUGGACAUUAGGGACUAAGUAAAGCUAUAAUGAGCAGGACCCUGAGAACUAUGGAGAUAGACAGGGUAGUGGAACAAGGUAAGUAAGCAAAUAAAUAAUCAAAUAAUAUACUAAGUAUUCUACUCAUGUCUGCACAAUAGCAGACUCCUGCCAAUUUUGAGAGAAUAUUUACUUGACUGAUGGCAAAUAUUGUCGGAGGAAACUUGCAUUUUGACAUUUCAGACUGAUAAACAGGAGAUAUUAUUUCACUGUUUUAAUAUCCCGAGUGAUUAAAACAUAGGGUACAUGACAUUUCAAUUUUAUUUUAUUCUAAUCUAAUUUAAAAGGUCAGAUGAGGAGACUGUAAACUUAAUUUGAGACUGACAGCCCCUUUAUAAAUGAAGAGCACCCACUGCCCGAUCAGAUGAUAGUAAUUAUGCCUUAUGAAGUAAAAGUCACUUUUGCAAUCAUCUAAUUUGUCCUCAAAUGAAUACCUGAGACAUUUAAUAUCUGUUUGCUUCAGCCGCUCUUUCCAGGAGACUUUUUAUUAGGAAGAUAGGCCAUGGAGAAAAACCCCCGCCUGAAGUCAAGAAAUGGGAGAAUGUAAAAAGAAAACAAAACUUAAGAUGUAUUGUUAUAUUUCAAAUGUAGCUAAUAGAGUGUUUGAACUUGUUUGUGUGUAUCUUAAAAGCAAAGGAAGGAAUACUUCUCAUUUAAAAGAUCUAAGGGACAAAGUGACAGGCUGCAGGUCCCUCCUCUCAACAUGAGUCGCUUCCACUGUCCCAGAAGCCUGGUGACAGUGGAGCCUCAGGAUCACAAGCAUCUGGCUCACAUUGUAAAUGUCGACUGUUCUCACGCAGAGGUUGUGCAGACAGGCAGAAACAACAGAGACAGAAGGCACACCAUUUGGUUUCAUCUCCAAGGCCUCCAAGAAAAGAAUAGUGCCAUCUUGACUUCAUUAUCCCAAAGGUCUUCCGUGUCUGAGUGAGCCCUGGGACGACGCUGGCUGUACAAUGUUCGAGUCACAAUGGUGUAUUGAGUACAUGGAUCUUCUAGAAGACAAUGCAGUGUCACGAACAGAUCUUGGAUAGCUCGUUCAUUCCUUCUCUGGAGGUCAGAAACUGUCAAUAUGCAUCAGAAAUUGUACGCAUCGAGGCAAAAAAGUGGGAAGUUACAUAACCCUUACCCCUUCCAUAGUGGCAUGUCCCCUGCCUCGCUGAUGCCUGACUGGCCUCCUGGUGAUCUUGUGAACCACAGUGGGGUUCGUAAGGCCUCAGAUGUUAGGUUGUGUGACAGGUCACCUUUAAACAAACAGCAGCACCUCCAGCUGAUGUUGCUGCUGUCCAGGGGUUGAAUCAGGUUGGUUAUUGUCACUCUAAGCAGUCAGAAAAUCUGUUUAAUGGUCAUGCUCCACAGCAAAUACACAACGCAGAGAUGUUGGGUUUGCUCUGGCUUACUUCUUUGCAAAAAGUGAAAUGUUACUUGACAUUUAAUAAUUGCUGAAUACUGAAAUAGUUUUCAUGUGUCUGGAAUGGACUUUGUGGACAAGGUAUUGUUAAAGGAACAGUUUUAUAUAUUUAUAAAAAGAACCUGCAGAGAAAUGGAAGAGAAACAUGGACACUAUAAUGUCUGUAUGCUAAAUAUGAUGCUUGAGCCAGCAGGUGAGGUUAGACCGUGAGGUUGCCAGGCAACCAGUGGAGACUCCUGGUAGUCACUGGUGCUUAUUAGAUAGGGUGUUUUUUUAUGUUUGGGCAGAGCCUGGCUAGCUGUUUCCCCCAUACUGUAUGCUAAGCUGAGUUAACCAGUUAAUAUGUAGAUCACGUGUGUGUGUGUGUGUGUGUGUGUGUGUGUGUGUGUGUGUGUGUGUGUGUGUGUGUGUGUGUGUGUGUGUGUGUGUGUGUGUGUGUGUGUGUGUGCAAAAAAUCACAUAGGGAAAAAAGCAGAGGCUUCAGUUGCAGGAUAUCAUUUAUGAUCUAUAAAUGGACGUUGAACACACCGCCACAACACAAGAGAGCAAACAUUAAACCGUGUACUGUAUGUUUUAUAAAAGGCAGAAUUUGCAAUGACCCUAAAUCUUAAAAUAUUUCUGUUUAGCUCACCAAUUGCAUCAUUUUAAGACUUAGCCCAUAGGGAAAGAGAUGCAUCAUUUUUGUAGUAGAGUAGAGGAUAAAGUGUCUGGUUAGCAUAAGAUGCGGGAGUAUUAACCAUUGUAUCACUGGUCACCUGUACCUGUGACUAUACAGCACCUGCAAGGAAUAUUGCAACCUCUAUUCUUUUUUUACUGUGUUGUAGGAGGCAAAUUGAUAAGGAGAAAGUAGCAAAACCCAGUGACCGCCUGUAGUAACAAGCGGCUGGGUGAACAAGACGUGUAAUGAAAUCAUUUUACCACCAGUAAAUGAGAACACUGAGGCAGUGAUCAGAGGAUGAGGAUUCAGACCACACAGCUAUAAACAGGUCAUUAUUGGAAUGACAUGAGAAACAGACUGAGCCUCAGCAUGUGGUUAUCAUUUCAAGAUAACUGUCAAAUUUAACGCUUUUAAAUGCUUUGUCUGCUCAGUGAAAAUGUGUUUAUAGAACAA